rnacentral:sRNA from 1 species
UGGCACAACAUUUCCCUAAAACUACUGAGGAAAACCCUAUAUUUGUAGUAAGCCGGGAACCUCUGAAUACCAUAGGAUUAAUAUAUGAAAAAAUUUCCCUCCCUAAAGUACAUCCACGUUAUGAUUUAGACGGGGAUGCUAGCAUGGCUAAGGUUAGUAUUUAAUUUAAUUACUAUGUAAACAUCUGAAUUUAAUGUAUCCUAUCAAUAGUGGAAGCAAUAACAUGUAUUGUGUCUUCAUGUAUGUCUAUAUGACUUAGGAAAUUAUUCACUUAAAUUGAUACCCUUUCCAAGUUAUUUUGUGGUCUUUCUUUUUUACUUUUUAUCCUUUCUUGAAUUCAUUAUAUAAGAAAAUUCUCUCCAUUGAGAUAGUGCAUGUUUAGAUAAUGUUAAGGAUAACAUAUUUAUUAUAUUUAUAUCUAUUUUUAACUCUUAGAAAUUGGUGGUUUAUUGUGUUUUUAAUUAACCUGAUAAAAAUGUGUAAGCUUGAAUAAUUUUGUGUAAAAGUUUUUCUUACCCUAUACCACAAUUAGCACCAAAUAUUGACAUUUUAUUUCUUUAUUAGGCAAUAACAGGGGUUGUGUGUUAUGCCUGCAGAAUUGCCAGUACCUUACUGCUUUAUCAGGAAUUAAUGCGAAAGGGGAUACGAUGGCUGAUUGAAUUAAUUAAAGAUGAUUACAAUGAAACUGUUCACAAAAAGACAGAAGUUGUGAUCACAUUGGAUUUCUGUAUCAGAAACAUUGAAAAAACUGUGAAA